AUUAUACAAAAAAAUUUUGACUUGAAUGUAAUUUAAUUUCGAAUUAAAUUUUUAUUAAAGUCUGAUU